rnacentral:rRNA from 1 species
CCUACGGGAGGCAGCAGUAAGGAAUAUUGGUCAAUGGGCGGAAGCCUGAACCAGCCAUGCCGCGUGCAGGAAGACGGCCCUACGGGUUGUAAACUGCUUUUAUACGGGAAUAAACCUCGAUACGUGUAUCGAGCUGAAUGUACUGUAAGAAUAAGGAUCGGCUAACUCCGUGCCAGCAGCCGCGGUAAUACGGAGGAUCCAAGCGUUAUCCGGAUUUAUUGGGUUUAAAGGGUGCGUAGGUGGCCUGUUAAGUCAGGGGUGAAAGACGGUAGCUUAACUAUCGCAGUGCCCUUGAUACUGAUGGGCUUGAAUAAACUAGAGGUAGGCGGAAUGUGACAAGUAGCGGUGAAAUGCAUAGAUAUGUCACAGAACACCAAUUGCGAAGGCAGCUUACUAUGGUUUUAUUGACACUGAGGCACGAAAGCGUGGGGAUCAAACAGGAUUAGAUACCCUGGUAGUCCACGCCCUAAACGAUGAAUACUCGAUGUUGGCGAUAUACGGUCAGCGUCUAAGCGAAAGCGUUAAGUAUUCCACCUGGGGAGUACGCCCGCAAGGGUGAAACGUCAANAGAGUGAGCGNGAGAGNGCGACGACGACGACGAGGGAGGAGG